CAGGCCUAACACAUGCAAGUCGAGCGGGCAUCCUUGUGGUGUCAGCGGCGGACGGGUGAGUAACGCGUGGGAACGUGCCUUCUGGUUCGGAAUAACUCAGGGAAACUUGAGCUAAUACCGGAUACGCCCUUUUUGGGGAAAGGUUUACUGCCGGAAGAUCGGCCCGCGUCUGAUUAGCUAGUUGGUGGGGUAACGGCCUACCAAGGCGACGAUCAGUAGCUGGUCUGAGAGGAUGAUCAGCCACACUGGGACUGAGACACGGCCCAGACUCCUACGGGAGGCAGCAGUGGGGAAUAUUGGACAAUGGGCGCAAGCCUGAUCCAGCCAUGCCGCGUGAGUGAUGAAGGCCUUAGGGUUGUAAAGCUCUUUUAUCCGGGACGAUAAUGACGGUACCGGAGGAAUAAGCCCCGGCUAACUUCGUGCCAGCAGCCGCGGUAAU
rnacentral:rRNA from 1 species